rnacentral:rRNA from 1 species
AUUGAACGCUGGCGGCAGGCUUAACGCAUGCAAGUCGAGCGGGGUGAUGGUGCUUGCACUAUCACUUAGCGGCGGACGGGUGAGUAAUGCUUAGGAAUCUGCCUAUUAGUGGGGGACAACAUCUCGAAAGGGAUGCUAAUACCGCAUACGUCCUACGGGAGAAAGCAGGGGAUCACUUGUGACCUUGUGCUAAUAGAUGAGCCUAAGUCGGAUUAGCUAGUUGGUGGGGUAAAGGCCUACCAAGGCGACGAUCUGAAGCGGGUCUGAGAGGAUGAUCCGCCACACUGGGACUGAGACAUGGCCCAGACUCCUACGGGAGGCAGCAGUGGGGAAUAUUGGACAAUGGGGGGAACCCUGAUCCAGCCAUGCCGCGUGUGUGAAGAAGGCCUUAUGGUUGUAAAGCACUUUAAGCGAGGAGGAGGCUCUUUUGGUUAAUACCCAAGAUGAGUGGACGUUACUCGCAGAAUAAGCACCGGCUAACUCUGUGCCAGCCGCCGCAGUAA